UACGAGAGGCCCAAACGUUAUUCGGAAUUACUGGGCUUAAAGAGUUCGUAGGCGGCGCAGCAAGUAGGGUGUGAAAGCCCUCGGCUCAACCGAGGAAUUGCGCUCUAAACUACUGUGCUUGAGGAAUCUAGAGGUGAGCGGAACUGAUGGUGGAGCGGUGAAAUGCGUUGAUAUCAUCAGGAACACCGGAGGCGAAGGCGGCUCACUGGGGAUUUUCUGACGCUGAGGAACGAAAGCCAGGGGAGCGAACGGG
rnacentral:rRNA from 1 species